CUUCACCGACCCCAACCACAAAGGUUCUCCCGGCUCCCCCCCGAUCUUGCCCAUAAGUGGCCAACAACGCCUGAGCCUC
rnacentral:antisense_RNA from 1 species